ACCCUUAACUAUCAACUAAUUUCUUUUUUUAAAAAAAAACUAUUAACUAAUAAAAAACAUAUUAUAUUCAAAACAAAAAAAACCCUGCUAUCUUAAAAAAUCUAUUAACUAAUAAAAAACAAAUUGUGUUCAUCUUCUCCAACCACGUUCAUCUUCACAGACUACAGAGAGAAGAGAAGCCAAAUCAACAAAAAUAUCUCCAUUCCAGACUUCUCUCAUGCCGGCCGUGGUCGGAGAAGAUGAACCUCGAACAUACCGUUGCUGCCGUGGUCGGAGAAGGUCUCGCCCAACACUUUCUCUCUCCCCGGCGCUGAUGGCUCGUCCCGUAGUCGUAGAAGAAGGUCUCACCAGAAGCUGAUGGGUUGUGGUCGGAGAAGAACGUCCAGCCACCACCUUUUUCUCUCUCGCCGACUCUAGUUCCACAGAUUUAGGGAUUUUGGUUUUCUUUUUUUUUUGAAUGAAAGGGAUUUUGGUUUUUGUUUACAGAAUUUGUAUUAAUUAUUUUAUUUCAGAUUUUAUUAUAAAUAAUUUUUAUGUAAAUAUUUUUUUUAAAGUAAAUUAAAUUUUUAUUUUAAUGGUUAAUAUUAAGUGGCUAUUUAAUAAAAUGAUGUGGCAUUUUUUUAAA